rnacentral:rRNA from 1 species
CAAUAGCGUAUAUUAAAGUUGUUGCGGUUAAAAAGCUCGUAGUUGGAUUUCUGCUGAGAACGACCGGUCCGCCCUCUGGGUGUGUAUCUGGCUCUUUCUUGGCAUCUUCUUGGUGAACGUUGCUGCACUUGACUGUGUGGAGCGCUACCCAGGACUUUUACUUUGAGGAAAUUAGAGUGUUUCAAGCAGGCAUACGCCUUGAAUACAUUAGCAUGGAAUAAUAAGAUAGGACCUCGGUUCUAUUUUGUUGGUUUUGAGAGCUGGGGCAGCGAUUGAUAGGGACGGAUGGGGGCGUCCGAACUUUACUGUCAGAGGUGAAAUUCUUAGAUCGGUCAAAGGCGAACUACUGCGAACGCAUUCGCCAAGAAUGUUUUCUUUAA